rnacentral:lncRNA from 1 species
UGUUGUGGCAUUGCCAGUUGCUGACACCAGAAUCGGAAAUAAUGGACCUUUGCCUUGAAAUCCCGUACAUAAGCUAUGUGGGGUCCAUUGUCUAGAGCAGACUUGCCCGUGCGGGGAUCUAUAUAUGUAGUGGUUCUUCUAUUGUGAUCCACAAAAUAUGGAAUGCCAUCCACAGUAAAUCGCAUUUCCCAGCCCUCAGGUAAGGGUUUCUCAUUUAAUUGACCCUGACUCCUGGGAUCUUCCCACUGUGUGAUACGUGUGUUGUGAUUAACAAAAUACACUCUGCCAUUGCUGUCAGUUCUCUUUUCCCAUCCAGGUGGCAGUGGGCCAAGAGGAUCAAAUUCUUUGUUCUGAGUGGAAGAAAAGUCCUGGUUCCCAUAUAUAAACCUCUGAUUAAACUGCUGC